AGACAUUAAUCUUAAGUAUCCAGGGAGCCCUAAAACAUUGUAUCCCACUAGCAAGGACCAUGGUAAUUGCCACGUAAAUCCCCUCCAUUAUGUGGCCCUUAUUAUGACCAGCCAGCCAAGGCUUGCCUUUAAAUCAUACCAAUUGAACCGAGCCUUGUAGAAACACUAUCACCUACGCAUACCUCUGCUUCUUUUCAUUAACCUGCUAUCCUCUUUACAAAUGGGAUUCUUCACCCACUCCCUUCUUCUAGAUUAGCAAUGCCCUGUUAAGUAAACGAACACGAAAUUCAAAGGGAAACAGGAGCAAUCAUCAUUACCAGCUGCCGUGUUAAGCAUUGCGAAAACGCUCACGAUUCACAGAAAAAUCCAUGCUGUUCUUUGAAGGCAUUCAAGCCUUAAUAGCUAGCUGGAUGAAUGUUUAACUUCUAGGCCAGGCACUACUCUGUCCCAACAAUAAGCCCUGUACAUUGGGAAAGGUGCCGAGACAUGAACUUUGGUCUUCUCUGCAAUCCAUCUGGAGCAUUCACUGACAACAUCGACUUUGAAGUUGCACUGACCUGGCCAGCCCUGCCACUUACCAGGUUGGCUCUGUAUGGCUAAGCGUUUUCUCCUAAAAUCCCUUGAAAACUGUGAGAAGACCAUAAGAAGAUCAUAUCUUUAAUUCUAUUUCACAAGUCACACAAUAUUCCAAUCAAAUACAGAUGGUUGAGAAAAGUCAUCCAUCUUCCCUCCCCACCCUCCCACAGCCCCUCAACCACUGCCCUGAAACUUAUAUGCUGUUAUCCGCAGCUCCAUCUGGAGCAUCACAGCUACUGUCAACCCUGACGCUCUUUCUGAAAAAACACCGGAUGGACAUCAGAACUAUUUCUUUAAGGAUGUUACUGAGCCACACAGGAAAACUUGCCUUAUGAUUUUGAAUGCACGGAUCUGAUUUGACUAAACAUGAUAACUAGAGAAUCACCCAAUCUACUCCCAUUUUCAACUCUAAAUCAUCAGAGUGUCUCAAAUCCAAAGCACACACAGACCAGCCUGGCCAACACGGUGAAACUCCACCCCUACUAAAAGUAUAAAAAUUAUCCAGGUGUGGUGGCGGGCGCCUGUAAUCCAAGCUACUUGGGAGUCUGGAGGCAGGAGAAUCCCUUGAACCUGGGAGAUGGAGGUUGCAGUGAGCAGAGAUCACACCACCGCACUCUAGCCUGGGCCACAAAUCAACAACAACAACAACAACAAAAAACAAAGCGCACACAGAGACUGAGGUCCUCUUUGGCAUUGAGAAGAUGGCUAUGCAAGUCCCAACUAGCAAGUGCAAACUUCCCAGCUUCACUUCUGCCAGUGUCCCUUCACCCCUUCUCAACCCCACUGGGAGGCAGGAGGGUGCUUGACAAUAACAGCCUUGGCAUCACUCUGCCAGGGUGUAAUAGGAACUGUUACAAUUCUGAGAUUCUGUAAGUGCUUUGAGAUUUUGGAGUCAGACUGCUUGAACUUGAAUCCUGGCCCUCUCAUCAGAGACUUGACUUAUUUUAGGCAAGUUAUAUAACCAAUUUUACCUCAGUUCCUUACCCAUAAAAUGGGUCUAAUGAGAGUACCUACCACACAGAAUUUUGAUGAAAACUGAAUGAGAUGAAGGCCUUUAAGGCAGUGGUCCCCAACCCUGGGGACACAGACAGGUACCAUUUUGUGGCCUGUUAGGAACUGGGCCACACAGCAGGAGGUGAGCAGUGGGUGAGUGAGAUCAGCGUUAUUUACAGCUGCUCCCCAUUGCUCACCUUACUGCCUGAGCUCCACCUCCUGUCAGAUCAGCAGUGGCAUUAAAUUCUCAUAGCAGCACAAACCCUGUCAUGAACUGCACAUGCGAGGGAUCUAGGUUGUGCGCUCCUUAUGAGAAUCUAAUGCCUAAUGACCUGUCACCGUCUCCCAUCACCCCUAGAUGGGAGUGUCUAGUUGCAGGAAACAAGCUCAGGGCUUCCACUGAUUCUACAUUAUGGCUGUGGCUUGCCUUUUCACUUCUUGUGUCCUGUUUAAGAAAUAUCUGCUAUCCCAAGAUAACACUAACAAAGUUGACCUUAGAAUUGGAGUGCCUGGGUUAGAACCCUGCUGGUACCACCUGCUUACUGCAUGCUUCUGAUGUGAGUUCAGGAGAAGACACUGGCAAGGACAGCAAAGAACAGGAGAACACUCUAGCUUCCCUGAUAGCAUUCAAGGUGCUGUCCAAAAGUUUCACUCUUAUUGCCCAGGCUGGAGUGGAAUGGCGCAAUCUUGGCUCACUGCAACCUCCGUCUUUCGGGUUCAAGCAAUUCUUCUGCCUCAGCCUCCCCAGUAGCUGGGACUACAGGCAUGCACCACCAUGCCUGGCUAAUUUUGUAUUUUUAGGAGAGACGGGGUUUCACCAUGUUGGUCAGGCUGGUCUUGAACUCCUGACCUCAGUUGAUCCACCGUCUUCAGCCUCCCAAAGUGCUGGGAAUACAGGCAUGAGCCACCAUGCCCAGCCUAAUUUUUCUUACAUGAGAUACGGUUUACCAAAGUCCACCUUCCACUUCUUCCUUCGUGUAUAUAUAGAGAUAGCAUUUCCUAGCUUCUCUUGCAAUUAAUUGUGGCCAUGAGCUUUGGGCAGUGGAAUGUGAAUGGAAGUGAUGUGGCCACUCCAUAUGUGUUUCUCUGUGUCCUUUCCCCUUCUAGCUGACUGUGAUGGCACCCUCCAGACAGACAGCGAUGCCACAUGUUCAAGAUGGCAGAAUCACUAUCAGCUUCAAUUCCUGAAUGACUGCAGAGCAAAAUUUCUUACCUGCAACAUACACUCUAUUUUCAGCCUCCCUGGACUGUUACAUAAUGAUACAUAAAAAUAUUUCUUGUGUUGAGGCAUCCCAAAUUUGAUUUAUUUGUCAUCACAGUCUAUCCUAUGAAUAUAUUUCUGAUCCAAAUAAUGCUAGAUUCAUGAGAGUUUAUAGUCCAGAGAUUUUUUUUUUUUUUUUGAGACAGAAUCUGUCUCCCAGGCUGGGGUGCAGUGGCAUAAUCUUAGCUCACUGCAACCUCUGCCUCCCGGGCUCAAGUGAUCCUCCCUCCUUAGCCUCCAUGAGUAGCUGGGACCACAGGUGUGCACCACCACACCCCGCUAAUUAUUUUGUAUUUUUUGCAGAGGGGGGUUUCACCACAUUGCCCAAGCUGGUCUCAAACUCCUAGACUUAAGGGAUCUGCCUGCCUUGGCCUCCCAAAAUGCUGAAAUUACACUUGUUAGCCAUAGUAAUAGUUCCUAGCCAUAGUCCGGAGAUAUUUUAAAAACUUUAGUGUGAGUUAUUUCUCUUUGCUAUAAUUCUCUCAUGCAUUUUGAAAACCUUUUCUGCCAUACAGUGGUUUUUGGGAAGUCCUUUUGGACAGACAUAUCACAGGAUGGAGAAACUAAAAAGAGAGAAUGCAUUAAAGAAAAAAUAGUACUUCGUAUUUCAGAAAUUACAAAAGGGUGUCAUGCCCCACAGCAUGGUGGGCAGUCAUUUGUAACCCACAGAACAUUGAGUUUCUAAAAUUUGAGUGUUUUUAACUUACGAAGGCCAACUUUACUGAUGAAGUGAUUACCCCAAAUAUGUGAAAUCCAUAUUUCAAGUACAAUAGUAGGAAAUUGGAAAUGGAUAGUUCAUUGUCAGUGUAUGAAAAACCUACUGAUUUUUUACGUUGAUUUUAUAUACUGCAACUUUAUUGAAUUCUCAACAAAUGGUGUUGAAAAAACUGGAUGUCCUCAUGAAGAAGAAUGAAAUUGAACACAUCACAUCCCAUAUACAAGAAUCAACUCAAAGUGGGUUGAAGACUUAAAUAUAAGAUCUGAAACUAUAAAACUAUUAGAAAUAAAAAACGUAAGAGGAAAGCUCCACACACUGAUCUGGACAAAGAUUUUUUUGACCAUGACCCUAAAAGCACAGGCAACAAAAACAAAAAGAGACCAUUAAUCUAUUAGUUAUUGUAUUGCAUCAAACUAAAAAGCUUACGCACAGCAAAGGAAACAAUUUACAAAAUAAAGAGACAACCCAUAGGUUAAGAGAAAAAUAUGUGCAAAUAAUACAUCUGUUAAGGGGCUCUAAUAUCCAAAAUACAGAGAGAAAUUAAACAACUCAAUAAUAAGAAAACAAGUGAUUACAUUAAAAAUAGUCAAAUGACUUGAACAGAUAUUUCUCAAAAGAAGACACAUAAAUGGCCAGUGGGUUAUUAAUAACAAAGCCCAAUAUCCCUAUCACUAAUCAUUGGGGAAAUGCAAAUUGAAACCACAAUUAAAUAUCACCUCAGAUCUGUCAGAAUGGCUAUUAUCAAAAAGAUGAAAUUUAAAUGUUGG
rnacentral:lncRNA from 1 species